rnacentral:misc_RNA from 1 species
UUUGUCUAAAAGAUGAAUACGGAGGUUUUUUAGCAAGAAAUAUAGAAAACUACCACCUACGGAGAUUGUGACGGUUCGUCGUGCUCGUGAAGAUCCGUAGAUGGUAUCGUAGCGCAGCUGCUGAAAGAAGAUGGAGAAUUCUGACCAAGCAUGGGGUUACGGAGUGCGUGAUGGACAGUUGAUAUAACGUGGUUUCACAGAAAUCUGUCCAAAG